rnacentral:misc_RNA from 1 species
AACUUUUUCUAGUGCAGCUGUGCAGGUUCCUGUCUCUUGCCAAUCGUCCACAAGAUGCAUAAAACCAUGAACCUGUUUGCUACCAGAACUACCCUUCCAUUUUACUGUUGUAGACUUUCCUAUACUUUUCUUGUUAAGUCCAUUGGACUCGGCGGACUUGAGUGACGUGAACUGCCAAACGCCUGAGAAAUGAUCUCCUUCAGCACAAUGGUGUUGGACAACCAGAAGGUUAACCUUGGAACAUCG